GACGUAGGGCGCGAGCGUUGUCCGGAUUUAUUGGGCGUAAAGAGCUCGUAGGCGGCUUGUCGCGUCGACUGUGAAAACCCGUGGUUCAACCAUGUGGUCUGCAGUCGAUACGGGCAGGCUAGAAUUCGGUAGGGGAGACUGGAAUUCCUGGUGUAGCGGUGAAAUGCGCAGAUAUCAGGAGGAACACCGGUGGCGAAGGCGGGUCUCUGGGCCGAUAUUGACGCUGAGGAGCGAAAGCGUGGGGAGCGAACAGG
rnacentral:rRNA from 1 species